CCUACGGGCGGCUGCAGUGGGGAAUCUUGCGCAAUGGACGAAAGUCUGACGCAGCGACGCCGCGUGGGUGAAGAAGGCCUUCGGGUUGUAAAGCCCUGUCGAACGGGAAAAACGAUCACUACAAUAAUAAGGUAGUGAUGUGAUGGUACCGUUAGAGGAAGCACCGGCUAACUCUGUGCCAGCAGCCGCGGUAAUACAGAGGGUGCAAGCGUUGUUCGGAAUUAUUGGGCGUAAAGGGCAGGUAGGUGGUCUUAAAAGUCUACUGUGAAAUCCCU
rnacentral:rRNA from 1 species